rnacentral:rRNA from 1 species
GACGAACGCUGGCGGCGUGCUUAACACAUGCAAGUCGAACGAAGAGCGAUGGAAGCUUGCUUCUAUCAAUCUUAGUGGCGAACGGGUGAGUAACGCGUAAUCAACCUGCCCUUCAGAGGGGGACAACAGUUGGAAACGACUGCUAAUACCGCAUACGAUCUGACCUCGGCAUCGAGGAUAGAUGAAAGGUGGCCUCUAUUUAUAAGCUAUCACUGAAGGAGGGGAUUGCGUCUGAUUAGCUAGUUGGAGGGGUAACGGCCCACCAAGGCGAUGAUCAGUAGCCGGUCUGAGAGGAUGAACGGCCACAUUGGGACUGAGACACGGCCCAGACUCCUACGGGAGGCAGCAGUGGGGAAUCUUCCGCAAUGGACGAAAGUCUGACGGAGCAACGCCGCGUGAGUGAUGACGGCCUUCGGGUUGUAAAGCUCUGUUAAUCGGGACGAAAGGCCUUCUUGCGAAUAGUUAGAAGGAU